GCAGGGAUGGAGCGCGAUCCGGGCCAGAUUCGCGACGUGGAGAGCGCUCUGCUCGAGGUGGAGUCACGUGGUUCCGGUCCUCUCGUCUACGUAGCCGUGUAUCCAAAAUGCCCCUAAAUAUUGGGGUAAUUUUAUAUUUUUAUAAUUUACGGGAAGCUAAGAGCUAUACAGACAAUGGAGGGUCUUUUCGUAAUUUUAUGAGGGACAGGUAUGGCCGCAGGGUCCAAGCGUGGGG
rnacentral:lncRNA from 1 species